rnacentral:lncRNA from 1 species
CCCAAUUUAUCGUCCUCGUCUUUGUUUUUCGUGAAAUAAUUGACAAGCUUCGCUAUUAGUAAAGCAUAAAUUUAGCUGUCGGUAUUUAAACUUCUUGGAUACUGUUCCGACAUUCAAGGUACAACAUGUUUAUAUAAAUUGAAGAAGAAUGUGAACAAUUACUAAGUUUUAUCAUAAUAUUUAUGUAAAUGAGAUGGACACUUCUUAGUACUAUUAUAAAGACCUACACGCUGAAUCUUUUUUUUUAUUUCUCCUUUGAACACCUUAUUCCAUACUCUUGCGUGCUAAAACAAUAAUUGGAGACUUGGAAAAUUAGAUUAAAACAAAAAUUUAAGUCUUUGGUUUGAUCUAAACAGAAGUUAAAACAUCUUCCAAAUAAGAGGCUAGCAGCCAAAUUUUAAUGGUGUUAUUUUAUUACAACAUGCCCAUGUGUAUUUUGCUUUUACUCAAAGUCUUAAGUUGGCCAUCGCACUACAGCGUAACCACCAUCGCAC